ensembl:lncRNA
CGCACACGCACCUCCACUCAAAGUCAAAACCAGGUCACUGUGGCUCCAUUAACUGGGAAGGAAAUCGUCGGGUGUCCCAUGUGAAGGAGGACCGUAGUUAAAGCCGCACCACGAGGAGCUGUGCAACGAGCUGGAGGAAGACGGGAAACUGGUUUAGUGACCAGUUCACAAAACACUGGGGUUUUGCUACAUGGUGUAUUACCAAUAGGAAUAUUUAGCUAAAUGCUCCAAUGGGCUCAGCAGCUCCACACGCCUUCCUGCUGCUUGCUCCAGGCUACAAACACACAGGAGCUCAAAGGCCAAACACCCCUUUUUCGUUCCGAUAUCAAUGAUGACCUGUAUGUGUGCACGGAGCUUUAACCAGGAAAGAUGGAGACCAUUCCUAAACCCAUUCCGGAUCUCUAGAUCUCCCAAGCAAUCAGUUUUAAAUGCAGACUAAUCUGCGUUUAUCAUCUACCAACCAUUUAAGCAGCACUGUGCUGCCAGGAGAAGGUGGUGGACCUGAGUGAUGUGACUAGCGGGCGUUUAGAUGCUGGGAGGCCUUCGAGCUGAGAAACAACACUUCUGUUGCCAACGUACACACGUUUUUCCCUGUAGAUGGUCUAUGCAGCAGUGAUGGAGAACAGUAGUUAUGAGAGAUGAUGAGAGGGAAACGGAAAGGUUGUGAAGACUUCUUUCCAAGAAAGCAGAAGAUCAAGGUUCCCAUGAACAAAGGAUUGAUCAUACGUCAGGCUAUUUUUAGCCGACUCUUGAGCUGAAUUAUGCGUCAAGGACAGUGCCGUGUCCCUGAGCGGAGACAGAGACCGGGGUGAUGUGGAGGAAGAGAAAGCCGAGUCGAGGGAGACGACGGGCGAGAUAGGCAGCAGGAGGACGAUACGGAGUCUGCUGCACCGCUCAGCUGUCCGAGGAGACUCACACCAGGACCAGUCCCCGGAGGAGGGAGGACCAGGAGUCCUGACCACUGAGGACUGAGGCCUUCCUGAGGAAACUGUCCACGAUUUGAGAACGAACACCAUCAUUUUCUGUACGGCAGCAUUACGGUUGCUAACCUCAGCCACAAGGAGCUACCGGUCGUACCACAGCGUGUGCGGUGGCCACAGAUAAAGUGGAGCGUGUAUAAAGGAAAGAGGACACGUUAAGGAUUAGCACCGCAGCAAAGACAGAUUCCCUUCAGACAUCAUAAGUGAAC